rnacentral:rRNA from 1 species
AAUCAACGCUGGCGGCGUGCCUCAGACAUGCAAGUCGAACGCGAAACCUUCCUUCGGGAGGGGAGUAGAGUGGCGCACGGGUGAGUAACACGUAGGUAAUCUACCUUUGGGUGGGGAAUAACAGCCGGAAACGGCUGCUAAUACCGCAUAAUGCAGCGGCUCGACAUCGAGACAGUUGUUAAAGCGGGGGAUCGUAAGACCUCGCGCCUAAAGAGGAGCCUGCGGCAGAUAGCUAGUUGGUAGGGUAAUGGCUUACCAAGGCGACGAUCUGUAGCCGGCCUGAGGAGGGCGGUCGGCCACACUGACACUGACAUACGGGUCAGACUCCUACGGGAGGCAGCAGUCGGGAA